UGAUUUUCAUUUUAUUAUUUUAGGUUACUAUUAUAUCUUAUUUUUUCAUCCAAAAUUUAAUCUUGGAUUUAUCCACAAAAAAAAAAAAAAACCAUAAGCUAUUUUUGUUCCAUGAUUCCAAGGCACUCCAUCUUCAGUAGCUGCAGUAUUGGAGCUCUGCUGGGAAGUAAUGUAAUUUAAAUUUCACCAGAUGAAAUCAAACCAAAAUAAUAAUAAUAAAUAAAUAAAUAAAAACAGAUUCUUUUAAACAUAAAAUCUUGAAUCUAUACGUCUAUCUAUUAUAUUAUAUAUUGAUUAAAAAUCAUUCAUCAAUCAUAUCAGAAUCGGGAAUCCUUCUCACACACAGCAACCUCUCGUACUGUGUCAGAAGUGUCCUAAGAUUUUCUUGAUUCAUCAUCUUGAUUGAUGCAAACACACAGCAAACAAGUUCUUUAAGAAAGAAAAAUCAAAGAUAACAAGUGGAGAAAAUGAAGGACGUAGCAAGUAGAGUUAGAUCAUCACCCACAUGCUCAUUUCACAAGCAUCUUCAUCUUUUUCCAUCACACCAUCAACAAGAAGCUCAAAUUCAAGGAGAACUGAGCCAAGAAAAGUAUAGAGAACAAAGAAGCAGAUAAGAAACAGGUGGCCUGUUAAUUAUUGAGCAAAAAAAGGUUAUCUCCUGGGUUG
rnacentral:lncRNA from 1 species